GCCGGGCGCGGUGGCUCACGCCUGUAAUCCCAGCACUUUGGGAGGCCGAGGUGGGCGGAUCACCUGAGGUCAGGAGUUCAAGACCAGCCUGACCAACAUGGAGAAACCCCAUCUCUA
rnacentral:SRP_RNA from 1 species